CCUCUCUCACUCACUUUUUGUUUCCGGCACCUUCUUGUAAAUAAGAAUUGGUUCUUAAACUGACUUGCCUAGUUAAGUAAAGGUUACGUUUCCGUAACUAAAAAUCAGCUGAUCGCCUUUUUCAGAUGUCAGUCAUAUAUUUUGUAACUAUCUUUAAGUUUGUGACGAGUGAGUGUGUUGUUGCCGAAAUAAACAGGCCUGAAAACAUUUAAAAUGUUCGCUACAGAGGCAGCUAGUAGUCGAUGUUAUGAAGUUCAAGACAUGACUAAUAAAAGUCCAUUUAUAUCUUUCAAGGGGGGUACCCUUUUUUCAUUUUGAGCACCUGCUCCCUGAAAGGUCUGUACACUGCCCUGCAUUUCACUGUAAAGAAAACUUGAAAUUACUAAGGAAAAAAUAAAAACAAAUUACGAGUUAAGACAAUAAUAAAAUGAACCGUCAAUCUAAAAAGGUUAAAACAAUACAGAAAAAAGCAGGGGGGCCAGAUCAGAUGAGAAGGGGGCCAGAUCAGAUGAGAAAGGGGCCAGAUCAGAUGAGAAAGGGGCCAGAUCAGAUGAGCAGGGGGCCAGAUCAGAUGAGCAGGGGGGCCAGAUCAAAUGAGCAGGGGGCCAGAUCAGAUGAGCAGGGGGCCAGAUCAGAUGAGCAGGGGGCCAGAUCAGAUGAGCAGGGGGCCAGAUCAGAUGAGCAGGGGACCCGAUCAGAUGAGCAGGGGGCCAGAUAAGAUGAGCAGGGGGCCAGAUCAGAUGAGCAGGGGGCCAGAUAAGAUGAGCAGGGGGCCAGAUCAGAUAAGCAGGGGGCCAGAUCAGAUGAGCAGGGGGCCAGAUCAGAUAAGCAGCGGGGCCAGAUCAGAUAAGCAGGGGGCCAGAUCAGAUGAGCAGGGGCCAGAUCAGAUGAGCAGGGGGCCAGAUCAGAUGAGCAGGGGGCCAGAUCAGAUGAGCAGGGGGCCAGAUCAGAUGAGCAAGGGGCCAGAUCAGAUGAGCGGGGGGCCAGAUCAGAUGAGCAGGGGGGCCAGAUCAGAUGAGCAAGGGGCCAGAUCAGAUGAGCAGGGGGCCAGAUCAGAUGAGCAGGGGGCCAGAUCAGAUGAGCAGGGGACCAGAUCAGAUGAGCAGGGGGCCAGAUCAGAUGAGCAGGGGGCCAGAUCAGAUGAGCAGGGGGCCAGAUCAGAUGAGCAGGGGGCCAGAUCAGAUGAGAAGGGGGCCAGAUCAGAUGAGCAGGGGGACCAGAUCAGAUGAGCAAGGGGCCAGAUCAGAUGAGCGGGGGGCCAGAUCAGGUGAGCAGGGGACCAGAUCAGAUGAGCGGGGGGCCAGAUCAGAUGAGCAGGGGGCCAGAUCAGAUGAGCGGGGGGCCAGAUCAGAUGAGCAGGGGGCCAGAUCAGAUGAGCGGGGGGCCAGAUCAGAUGAGCAGGGGACCAGAUCAGAUGAGCAGGGGGCCAGAUCAGAUGAGCAGGGGGCCAGAUCAGAUGAGCAAGGGGCCAGAUCAGAUGAGCAAGGGGCCAGAUCAGAUGAGCAGGGGGCCAGAUCAGAUAAGCAGGGGGCCAGAUCAGAUGAGCAGGGGGCCAGAUCAGAUGAGCAAGGGGCCAGAUCAGAUGAGCUGGGGGGCCAGAUCAGAUGAGCAGGGGGCCAGAUCAGAUGAGCAAGGGGCCAGAUCAGAUGAGCAGGGGGGUUGCGUUUCCUUGCUGAGACGUUACAUGCAUCAACCAAUGAUUGGAUGUGACAACAUCGACUGUGCAGUCGGGCACCAGAU